UAAUACAGAGGUCUCAAGCGUUGUUCGGAAUCACUGGGCGUAAAGGGUGCGUAGGUGGCGUGGCAAGUCAGAUGUGAAAGCCCGGGGCUCAACCCCGGAACCGCAUCCGAUACUGCCAUGCUGGAGCGCUGAAGGGGUGACUGGAAUUCUCGGUGUAGCAGUGAAAUGCGUGGAUAUCGAGAGGAACGCCAAAGGCGAAGGCAGGUCACUGGGCAGUUGCUGACACUGAGGCACGAAGGCCAGGGGAGCGAACGGGAUUAGAUACCCCGGUAGUCCUGGCAGUAAACGGUGCACGCUUGGUGUGGGGGGGUUCGACCCCUUCCGCGCCGGAGCCAACGCGUUAAGCGUGCCGCCUGGGAAGUACGGUCGCAAGAUUAAAACUCAAAGAAAUUGACGGGGACCCGCACAAGCGGUGGAGCAUGUGGCUUAAUUCGAUGCAACGCGAAGAACCUUACCUGGUCUUGACAUGCAUUGUGUCUCCGGUGAAAGCCGGAUAGUGUAGCAAUACACGCUUUGCACAGGUGCUGCAUGGCUGUCGUCAGCUCGUGUCGUGAGAUGUUGGGUUAAGUCCCGCAACGAGCGCAACCCCUGUGAUUUGUUGCCAUCGGGUAAUGCCGGGCACUCGAAUCAGACUGCCUAGAUCAACUAGGAGGAAGGUGGGGACGACGUCAAGUCCGUAUGGCCCUUACGACCAGGGCUGCACACGUACUACAAUGCUCAGCACAAUGUGAACCGAUACCGCGAGGUGGAGGAAAUCUAUAAAACUGGGCUCAGUUCAGAUUGCAGGCUGCAACUCGCCUGCAUGAAGUUGGAAUCGCUAGUAA
rnacentral:rRNA from 1 species